AUGGGCGGCCUUGGCGGCGUCCACGACCUCGAAGCCGCGCGCCGACCCGUUGUUGGGCCGCGCGUCCUUCUCCGACUCCAUCCCGUCGAAGGUGUCCAGCAGCAGCGAGCCGUCGCAGCCCUGCACGAAGCAGUCGUGGAAGUGGAGGCGGAUGAGGCUGGCGAAGAUGCGAGGGUCCGACUGGUGCGCCUCCACCAGCACCCCCUGCACGAUCUUGUACGCGUCCGGGCACGUGCAGUCGUAGUAGUCCGUGCACAGCUCCGCCGCCGCCGCCCCGCCGGCGUGGAGGAGGCAGACGGCCGCCAGAAGCGCGGCCAAGCCGGCGAUGCCCAGCUGGGAGACCCGGGUAGAAGAAGAAGAAGAAGAAGACAUGUUGUUGGCAAGGGGCUGAUGAGAACUGGGAGGAAACGAGGGCUGCAUUUAUAG
rnacentral:rRNA from 1 species